rnacentral:rRNA from 1 species
UACGGAGGAUGCAAGCGUUAUCCGGAUUUAUUGGGUUUAAAGGGUGCGUAGGCGGGGCAGCAAGUCAGUGGUGAAAUCUUUCGGCUUAACUGAAAAACUACCAUUGAAACUGUUGUCCUUGAGUAUAUUUGGAGUGGGCGGAAUGUGUCAUGUAGCGGUGAAAUGCUUAGAUAUGACACAGAACACCAAUCGCGAAGGCAGCUCACUAAACUAUAACUGACGCUGAAGCACGAAAGCGUGGGGAUCAAACAGGAUUAGAUACCCUGGUAGUCCACGCUGUAAACGAUGAUCACUCGAUGUUGGCGAUACACUGUCAGCGUCUGAGCGAAAGCAUUAAGUGAUCCACCUGGGGAGUACGAUCGCAAGGUUGAAACUCAAAGGAAUUGACGGGGGCCCGCACAAGCGGAGGAGCAUGUGGUUUAAUUCGAUGAUACGCGAGGAACCUUACCUGGGCUUAAAUGUAGGGCGACGUUCCGGGAAACCGGAAUUCCCUUUUGGGCGACCUACAAGGUGCUGCAUGGCU